CAAUAGCGUAUAUUAAAGUUGUUGCAGUUAAAAAGCUCGUAGUUGGAUUUCUGGUUGAAGCGACCGGUCGGGCGUUGAUUCGUCUGCACUGGAGUCGGUUUUGGCCAUCCUCUAGGAAAGUGCGUCUGGUAUUAAGUUAUCGGGCGUAUGAUCCUGGUCUUUUACUGUGAAAAAAUUAGAGUGUUUAAAGCAGGCCUUCGCCUUGAAUACAUUAGCAUGGAAUAAUAAGAUAGGACUUUGGUCUAUUUUGUUGGUUUGCAGACCGAAGUAAUGAUUAAUAGGGAUAGUUGGGGGUAUUUAUAUUCCGAUGUCAGAGGUGAAAUUCUUAGAUUUUCGGAAGAUAAACUUAUGCGAAAGCAUUUACCAAGGAUGUCUUCAUUAA
rnacentral:rRNA from 1 species